GGGUCUGUCCAUUGGUCGGGCUUCACGGUCCGUACUGGUGAGAUGGGUUCCUACCUUCUGAAUAACCAGCAUGCCAUUUAGUUGGUGCGCCGGGGAAGCAGAGCUAUUACCUUGAAAAAAUUAGAGUGUUUAAAGCAGGCAUUCGCUUGAAUACAUUAGCAUGGAAUAAUAGAAUAGGACUUAGGUUCUAUUUUGUUGGUUUCUAGGAUUGACGUA
rnacentral:rRNA from 1 species